GCUACGGGAGGCAGCAGUGAGGAAUAUUGGUCAAUGGCCGGAAGGCUGAACCAGCCAAGCCGCGUGAAGGACGAAGGUGCCAAGCAUUGUAAACUUCUUUUGUCAAGGGACAAAAUCAGGCACGAGAGCCUGACCGAAGGUACUUGAAGAAAAAGCAUCGGCUAACUCCGUGCCAGCAGCCGCGGUAAUACGGAGGAUGCGAGCGUUAUCCGGUUUUAUUGGGUUUAAAGGGGGGGUAGGCGGACUGUUAAGUCAACGGUAAACUCCCGGGGCUCAACCCCGGCGAGCCGUUGAAACUGGCUGUCUUGAGGUGUCUAGAGGUAUGCGGAAUGCGCGGUGUAGCGGUGAAAUGCUUAGAUAUUGCGCAGAACUCCGAUUGCGAAGGCAGCAUACCGGCGGCGAUCUGACGCUGAGGCACGAAAGCGUGGGUAUCGAACAGGAUUAGAUACCCCUGGAGUC
rnacentral:rRNA from 1 species